rnacentral:lncRNA from 1 species
GUCCACCGUCGCCUUCACCACCACCUCCUUACUGCUAUAAAUCACCCCCACCACCAUCACCAUCCCCCCCUCCUCCCUACCAUUACAAGUCACCUCCACCACCAUCACCAUCAUCUCUUCCUCCUUACCACUAUAAAUCUCCUCCACCACCAUCGUCAUCUCCUCCUCCUCCAUACCAUCAUAAAUCCCCACCCCUCCAUCACGAUCACCUCCUCCUCCUUACCACUAUAAAUAUCCUCCACCACCAUCACCAUCCCCCCCUCCUCCCUACCAUUACAAGUCACCUCCACCACCAUCACCAUCACCUCCUCCUCCUUACCACUAUAAAUCUCCUCCACCACCAUCGUCAUCUCCCCCUCCUCCAUACCAUCAUAAAUCCCCAACCCCUCCAUCACCAUCACCUCCUCCUCCUUAUCACUAUAAAUAUCCUCCACCACCAUCUCCAUCACCACCUCCCCACUAUGUCUACAAGUCGCCACCUCCUCCCUCACCAUCACCUCCUCCUCCUCCUCC